rnacentral:lncRNA from 1 species
UUAUGGUUGUGCAUGUGUAUAUGUUAAACAGUUUAUGGGGUGUUUUCAAACACAGACAGACUGAUAACCUUAACCAUGAAUUUAAUUGAAUAUUAGUACUGUAUAAUAUUUUCAGAUUUUUAGGAGUUCUAAAAUAAGGAUUAAAAACCAUGUAGUUGGUUCAGGAUCAAUAAUGAGUACCUAUAAUCUUAGCACGUUAGGAAGAAGAGACCAGAGAAUCAUUGACAUCAAAAUGUUAGGACUGCAAGGAGAGGAAAAGGACAACAUGGGCUAUGUGAGAUCCUGUCUCAAAACAAAGAGUACAGUGUGUUUUCUAUAGUCAUUUGAGGUGCUUAUGUAUUUCUUUCCUGUUCACUUGCUCUUUCUCACCAUGCCUGUGUACCUGUGCACAUACACACACUUUUCUAGGAAAAAAAUAUUUUAAAAGUCAAGCUUCCUGAAUAAUUCUACAUAUUUCAACUUUUUCAUGCAGACUAAAGUUUCUAUUGCAAAAUCUACUUAUGACAAAAUGAGACAAAAGAGAAAGGAAGAAAAAGAACUUUUUGACGCUAAAGAUUGUGAACGGAAAGAAACAAGUCCCUGGGAACGAAUAAAACAUCCAGGAACUGAGAAAAUGACAUCUGAGAAUGAACCAUCUCCUGGAGUCAUUCCACAAUAUAAAGAAAGAAUGUCUUCUGUCACUCACAGUCCAGAGAUAAUGGAUUCAUUAGAAUUACGGCCAUUUUCUAAACCAGAAAUAG